CAUUCACCGCUUUCAGUCACUGACUGUGACCAAAGUCCAAAAAAGACUGUGGUUGAACUUAAGCGAGAGAUCCAAGACCUGAAAGAAGAGAAUGCCAAACUGAGGGAGUUGCUUGUAGAAGAUGUGCCCGAACUCAUGAAGACUAUGAAAAAUGUGAUUGAUUUAGCUGACCCUCUUAAGAGAUCAAGUUUUGAGCUCCCCCAGAGUUCUACACAGUCCAGGCCGGGUUCAUCAUCUGAUGAUUCACAGAUGCCCAUUUCCAAAUCUGUUCCAUCUGUCUCAUCAGAGUCUGUCACUCCAUUUACAAGAGAGUCCCAGUCGUCAAAGGUGGAGAUCCAUCCUGGGACAGGAGUCAUGAUCGAGAAACUAGCGUGGG